rnacentral:rRNA from 1 species
UGAACGCUGGCGGCGUGCUUAACACAUGCAAGUCGAGCGAGAAGUUUUGAAAAGAUUCUUCGGAUGAAAUUUAAAAUGGAAAGCGGCGGACGGGUGAGUAACGCGUAGGCAACCUGCCCCAUACAAAGGGAUAGCAUUUGGAAACGAAUAUUAAUACCUUAUGAAACUUAACUAGUGCAUGCUAGGUAGGUCAAAGAUUUAUCGGUAUGGGAUGGGCCUGCGUCUGAUUAGCUAGUUGGUGAGGUAACGGCUCACCAAGGCGACGAUCAGUAGCCGACCUGAGAGGGUGAACGGCCACAUUGGAACUGAGACACGGUCCAAACUCCUACGGGAGGCAGCAGUGGGGAAUAUUGCACAAUGGGGGAAACCCUGAUGCAGCAACGCCGCGUGAACGAUGAAGGCCUUUGGGUCGUAAAGUUCUGUUCUAGGUGAUGAAAACUGACAGUAACCUAGGAGAAAGCCCCGGCUAACUCCGUG